rnacentral:tRNA from 1 species
AGGGCGGCUGGCCUAAUGGUAAGGCGUCUGAUUUCGGCGGAGUGAUUCAUUCAACUGCUCAGAAGACUGCAGGUUCGAUCCCUGCGUCGCUCAU